GACGAACGCUGGCGGCGUGCCUAAUACAUGCAAGUCGAACGCAGUGGGGACUAGUCAGUAACACGUUGGUAACCUCCCAUCAGAGGGGAUAACACUUGGAAACAGGUGCUAAACCGAUACUGAUGGAUGGACCCUCGGUGCAUUAGCUAGUUGGUGAGGUAACGGCUCACCAAGGCCAAGAUGCAUAGCCGACCUGAGAGGGGGAUCGGCCACCCUGGAACUGAGAAACGGCCCAGACUCCGACGGGAGGCAGCAGUAGGGAAUCUUCGGCAAUGGACGAAAGUCUGACCGAGCAACGCCGCGUGAGUGAAGAAGGUUUUCGGAUCGUAAAACUCUGUUGUUAGAGAAGCGGUAUCUAACCAGAAAGCCACGGCUAACUACGUGCCAGCAGCCGCGGUAAUAC
rnacentral:rRNA from 1 species